UACGUAGGGUGCAAGCGUUAAUCGGAAUUACUGGGCGUAAAGCGUGCGCAGGCGGUUAUGUAAGACAGGUGUGAAAUCCCCGGGCUUAACCUGGGAACUGCAUUUGUGACUGCAUAGCUAGAGUACGGUAGAGGGGGAUGGAAUUCCGCGUGUAGCAGUGAAAUGCGUAGAUAUGCGGAGGAACACCGAUGGCGAAGGCAAUCCCCUGGACUUGUACUGACGCUCAUGCACGAAAGCGUGGGGAGCAAACAGG
rnacentral:rRNA from 1 species